GUAGGUGGCAAGCGUUGUCCGGAAUUAUUGGGCGUAAAGCGCGCGCAGGGCGGUCCUUUAAGUCUGAUGUGAAAGCCGACGGCUCAACCGUGGAGGGUCAUUGGAAACUGGAGAACUUGAGUACAGAAGAGGAAAGCGGAAUUCCACGUGUAGCGGUGAAAUGCGUAGAGAUGUGGAGGAACACCAGUGGCGAAGGCGGCUUUCUGGUCUGUAACUGACGCUGAGGCGCGAAAGCGUGGGGAACAAACAGGAUUAGAUACCCUGGUAGUCCACGCCGUAAACGAUGAGUGCUAAGUGUUAGGGGGUUUCCGCCCCUUAGUGCUGCAGCUAACGCAUUAAGCACUCCGCCUGGGGAGUACGACCGCAAGGUUG
rnacentral:rRNA from 1 species